rnacentral:lncRNA from 1 species
AAAAAAGGAAGAAAGAGCUAACGCCUCAGAGACUGAAGCAGCACCACUGGAACACAAGAGAAGAACCCCCCCUUAAAAGCUUUGUCUUCUUCACAACCCCCCCCUUUGGAACUUCAUCUUCUUUAGCCAAUAAAAACCCCAAGAACCUAAUUUGAAAUGGAUGGCGGCUCUUUCUUUGGCUUCAAGCGAACAGCCACAACGCACAAACUGUGACAAAACCGAGCAGCUAAUUAAGAGGAACAGGCAACACCCAUCCUAAUUCCUCUUAAAACAGACGAAAACCAGCAGCUAUGUCACAGAAAAGAGCAGUAACCUUUCCUAUGUUCAAGAUAUUCCUCGCUCAGAUUCGUUUAAUAUUUCCCAGCGACUCUUUCCCUCCCAUUUGUGAUUAAAAACAGUGACAAGAUGGAAAGAUCAGCGAGGCAGUCCGGUCAGAGCUCAUGAGUUUUCCGGUGAGAUUUUCCGACUUAGAUUUUGUUUGCAGUCCUGUUCGUUCCGUCGAUUAGCAUUUUCAGAUUGUGAGUCAUUUAAAUUUCAGGUUUACUUGAGGUUUAUUUCUCCUUCUCUUACUAUCUUAGCUUAAUUUCAUGCUUCUAUAAUUUGUAAAUCUAUUUUGAUCUAGUAUUUUGAGCCUUCUAUUUGUGAUGUUUGUUUGUUUACCUGUUGAAUCAAAUAUGAAGUUUUAAGUGUCUGUUUGGUUCCGUUACUUGAAAAUUGUUAUUUCCUUAAGGACUCGGCAGUGUUGAAGUUUACGUGGCCAGUUUGUUUGAGUUCACAAUACUCCAUGUUGCUUUGCCUACCUCGUCGUAUUGAAAUGAAGGCUUACUAGUGCGACUAAGUUUAAACUAAAUUGCACAGACCAAUUUUAAACUAAAUUCACUUGUUGAAUGAAAAGGCACAAGAACUUGGUUCAUAUCAUUAUAUCUAUUGAAGACGUGUGGUGUAUUUGUUUGUUCUACUUAAAAAGGAUCUGAUUCAAUAAACUUGUUCUACAGAUUCCAUUUUUAUCGUUAAUGUUUAGUCUUUAUUGAGUUUAAAGUAUGGCAUCAGUUUUGUUUUGUGAUGGGCAAAAUCAAAAGGAAGUUUCAUGUUUGCUGUUUGUACAUACAAUACAGAUUAGAGGUUGUUGUGUUAAACUGGUUUCACUUCCUUUAAAGGAAAAAAAUGAAGAUGGGUAGCACUACACAUAGCCAAUCGUUCAUCACAAUUUCUGCUAAAAUGAACGAAGGAAGAAGGCCGGAGAGUAGGAGCAUGGAUGAAAUUCUUAGAUUGAUAAGAUGAGGCCAUUUUAAUAUUGUCAAUAAAAAUUACACUCUUAUUGAUGGUACUAUAGGUUACAGAGAGUCAUUGAUAUGAUACUAGAAAGUGUGCAUUAAGAUAUUGAUAGUCUGCUCGUACUAUUCAUUAGCUUGGAUCCGCGAAAAUGUAAUGUCUAUGGAGUUCAUUUGUAAAUCUAAUUAUUGUGAUUGUGUACACGUUCGCAUGACAUAAUUACGAUUCUAAAAUUAAUUCGGAGUAUGCGUUCGCACAACUUCGACCAACUUCCUCAAUAAUAA